rnacentral:rRNA from 1 species
CCUACGGGUGACAGCAGUGGGGGAUAUUGCACAAUGGAGGCAAGUCUGAUCCAGCGACGCAGCGUGCGGGAUGACGGUCCUCGGAUUGUAAACCUCUGUCUUUGGGGAAGAAGAUGACGGUACCCAAAGAGGAAGCUCCGGCUAACUACGUGCCAGCAGCCGCGGUAUUACGUAGGGAGCGAGCGUUGACCGGAAUUACUGGGUGAAAAGGGAGCGUAGGCGGGCGAAAAAGUUGAAUGUUAAAUCUACCGGCUUAACUGGUAGCUGCGUUCAAAACUUCUUGUCUUGAGUGAAGUAGAGGCAGGCGGAAUUCAUAGUGUAGCGGUGAAAUGCGUAGAUAUUAGGAGGAACACCAGUGGCGAAGGCGAGCUGCUGGGCUUUAACUGACGCUGAGGCUCGAAAGCGUGGGGAGCAAACAGGAUUAGAUACCCGGGUAGUC